AAUCAACGCUGGCGGCGUGCCUAACACAUGCAAGCCGAACGCGAAAGCCCUUUCGGGGGUGAUUAGAGUGGCGUCCGGGUGAGUAACACGUGGGUAAUCUACCUUCGGGUGGGGAAUAACGUCUCGAAAGAGACGCUAAUACCGCAUAAUGCAGCGGCACCACAUGGUGAUUAGUUGUUAAAGCGGGGGUCGCAAGACCUCGCGCCUGAAGAGGAGCCUGCGGCAGAUUAGCAGUUGGUGAGGUAAUGGCUCACCAAGGCGGCGAUCUGUAGCUGGUCUGAGAGGACGGCCAGCCACACUGGCACUGACACACGGGCCAGACUCCUACGGGAGGCAGCAGUGGGGGAAUUUUGGGCAAUGGGCGCAAGCCUGACCCAGCAACGCCGCGUGAAGGAGGAAAUCCUUCGGGAUAGUAAACCUCGCAAAUAUGGGAAGAACACAAUGACGGUACCAUAUGUAAGCC
rnacentral:rRNA from 1 species